AGACUUUGGUAUAGAAUAAAAGCAAUAUAUUCAACUUAAUUGAAGUCUCAUAGCCCAAGAUGGUGUUCUUCUAUUUUUCUCUACAAUUAUUAGCAUAGCAUAAAUUUGCCGGACCCAAAGCCAAGUGUUGAUACAAGGUCAUAAUAAUAAUAAUUACAGGUUGGCCCAAUUACAUUUAAGACAAAGUUUCAGCCACAUCUUGUGUCGACACUUGACCAGGUUGGCUUGCUUGUUCUGAAUAUCAUAUGUUUUAAGAAUAAACCAUAGAAAUGUACGUUAAAGUUCAUUUCUAAAAUGGAACUGAGUAGAUACUUAUGCAUAAGUUAUAUAUGCAAUAUGAUGAGACUAUGGUCAUAGGUGUUACAUACCAAGGUAUUUUUUUAAAUAUAUAUUAUGUAUACAGUCCAAUUUGUAUUUAUUUUAAACCUUUUGGAAAAUACUUGUAUUUGUAUUUGUAUUUGGUGGCAAUUUAAAUAAAAAAUGCUACAUAUUAUCACAUCUCAUCUCAUUUGCCCCUUUUGAUUUAUAAGUUUGAAGUUAAUUAAAUGAGUUGAAAAAUUACAAAAAAUGAACCCUUAACUAUCUCACUAGGCACUUAUAUUUAUUAUUGAUUGAAAGCUUUGGCACUUAAUUAUUUUUUCUUUUGUCCAUCAACUAGCAUGGUCCUUUGUUUGGGGCGAACAAAAUAACUAUCUCCACUCCAUGACACCACUCUCUCUUUUCAUUUGAGCUAUCGCUUUUGUGUUUCUGUAUUUUGUCUAUCCUAUACACAUAAAGCAUGAGAAAAUUGAUGCACAUAAUUACUUACUGUACAAAUGCUGAGCAUAAGCAUCCUUGUGACAUAUCAAACCUUUGAUGCUUGGAAUGUGCAAUAUACAAACCCAAAUUAUAGCGCAUCGACUUGACACUUUAUAGUAUAUCAGAAGAAAUUAAAGAAUUAGCAAAAGCUUCAUCACUUAGAGUCUUAAGGUGGAAGGAGCAGCAGAUAAAGAUUGUAGAACACCUAACAUUUGGGAUUCCUUUGCUCACGGUGGAUAUAUUUCUCUUUCUUUUAUCACUCUUUAUUUUAUCCUAAACUUGUAUGAUUUUGUGGGGUCAUGAUAUGUAUCUGGGCUGAACAGAGCUUACUCUGUUUUAUAGUAAAAGAAUAUUAAUUAAUGUCUUUCAGUAUUUUAUCCAUAUAAUUCUCACUCCCAUAAUUUUACUGUUCUACUAAUUCAACUCGAUUUAGUAAUAAUUGAUGUGAUGUUUGAGGAUACCAAUAAUAAGGCUGAUAUAGUUUUUAUAAUUAAUAGAACCAAUGUUACAUAUUUAAACCCACUCUUACUAUAUGAUAUAGAACAAAUGGACAAUGACGAUAUAGUUUAUCUUUUUCUUUUCUUUUUUAAUAAAGACUGUAGAUAAAGAUUGAGUCAAAAUUUUCUAUUUAAUAUCAUUUUAGCAUUAGUAUUGGUUCACAAAAGUACUAAUAUAAAUACCCUCACGAUUUCUCUCUGUUUUUUUUUCUUUUUAUUUUUGAUAAUCAUGAUUUCUCUCUUUAUAAUUGUUUAUUACUACUAUUGUACUUCUAUUGAAUUUUAUUGGCUUUUUAAAUUGGAUAUAGUAAUGUUAAUCUGCUCAUUAUAUUCAUACACAGAACUGUGAUCAGGUACUUUUGAUUUGAUAGAUAUGAAAGGGAAGGAGAUAACACUCUAACGGAAAAAGUGUGAGUAUGUUGUGGUUUUGUGUAUUUACGAAUAAAGCUUAUUGUUCUUCAAGAAGACUUCAAGCAUUUUACUAGCCAAUUUUAGCUCAUUUAGAGUGAUUAAGUUCUGUAAUGGAAAGCUUUUUAAGUUUCAAGGCCAUUUGACAAUUUGUUUUGACACUUCCAUGGGUUUUAUGCUGGACUUUUUGGACUUAUAUGAAACUUGCCACUUUCUUUAAUUUAUCAAUUUGAUGUUCUACUAUAUUGACUUCUAUUUAUUUUUAAAAUAUUAAUACAAGUUCAGUUUCCUUUCAAAAAUAAAAAUUUCUAGGGGCAAUUCCUUUGUUUGUAUCUUUGUAGAUCCUUAUCUUAUUCAAUAAUUGUAUGCCUCUUCGGCUCCGACAUUAUCACUUUGGAUGUUGUGAUUUUUUAAGUGCAUCUCUGCUUGUUUGUCUGUGUUGAAGCUCUACAAUUUUAGUGUCUACUCUUAAUUGAUUACUUGUUCAUCUCAAAGCUAUAGCUUAUGCUUUUUCCUUUGCUUGUCACCGUAUCUUGUGUAGAAAAAUGGUGUCUUUGCUAGCAUAAAAGUCAGAUUCUUUCUCAUAUUUCAUUUCUGAAACAGUUUUGUGUUUUAUCAUAUUUGCAGAUUAUUCUAAGAAGCCCCUGAACUAAUACUAAAUGCUUUGUAGUACUACCAGCAGGCCAUUAUUCUAUUUAUAUAUAUAUAAUAUGAUGCAUUAAUAUAUAAUAUGUUGAUUAUGGCAGUGGAUUGAAUCUUUUGUGAUUGAUAAAACUUGGGUAUCCAUCAACAGGUAAUAUGAUAAGAUGCAUUUAGUAAAUUCUUAAGUAUAUACUUAGGAUUUUAUUGAUAGAUUAAUCAUACAUGUCAUAAUGAGUUGUACCAUAUUAUUUAUGGAACUAUUCUGUGAAAAUCUAAGAUUUAAUUGUACGUUUCAAAAUUUUGGAUUUAUUGAAAAAUAGUUGUUAUGCUACCGAUUUUUUUUUAGAAAAAUAGUAACCAACUAUUAUGCUUAUUGGUUAUGAAGAUCACAUGAGUUUUGUUUACUUAUUGCAUUUUUUUUCAUAUAUGUUAUCUAGGUGAUGAAGAUAGCAACACAAGAUUUGGAUGCUUGCAAUUAAUAAAGAGAAAGCACAGGACAAAUGUUACAAUUUGUAUUUUAUUAGACUUGUUGCGCAUUAUAUUCUCAGCAUGACUACUUUUACUAUGGUAUUUUGUACAUUUUUUUA